AGCCACCGACCGCUUCAACAGAGAAGCAGACGCUUGCGGCUGGGAGGUUUAUUAGUAAACCUGUUCCAGAGCCUCUUAACGAGCGCGCCUGGAUGAGUUUCCCAGGAUCCAUAUUCGUGACUUUCUGUGGCCGGAGGACCAUCUUCCCCAAGGGCAAAGCAGGCUGGGAUCGCUGCAGAGUUAACUUCCGAUUUCCCAGGAUUUUGUGAACAUUCUGAUUGUGACCUCUUUACUAAACCCAGAAAUUUGUUUUUGACGUCUGCUGUGGGAAAAAAUCUUGAGACGUUAUUUCCCUCCGCUGAUGCCACCAGUAAUUAGAUCCAAGAAUGCAUUUGGUCCAGGUUUUGAUAAUUCAGUGGAGCUAACAAACUGUAACGACUCAGAUAUGACCUUGCCCGCUGACCUCCCUCCUAGUCACUUCCAUGCACGCCCAGGAACCUGCCCACGGGCUCUGGCUCCAGGACUCCAUAGCUUAUCCUUUCCCGAAGCCUUCAUCCCAUAGAGUGGGCAUUUGGGAAUCGACGGUUGACCAUUAUGCUGCCACAAGAUGGAAAGACCCAGGGUCUCCGAAUGACCGCGUGAAGCCAAUUCUGCCACCAAACUGUGUUGAACAGAGGCAUGAACGAGCAACGAACCGUUACUGUAUUAAUCCACAUUGGUUGUAUCUUAAAGCAGUUGGCAUAGCCUGCUUAAUAGAUUUCCUUUUUCUAUCCCCCAUCCCAGCAAAAUGUUCUAGGUUGCCGGGACAGCUUGUGGACCGUGUGCUUAAAGAGAUGUCAGGGUAAGCGUUCCAUUUUGCUAGCCAAGCAUUCAAACGUCGCCAAGAGACGAGGCUAGCUGGUGAGGUUCUGCCGAAAUGCUUCCAAGUCAGGGAAGCCCCUGCAUUUUCUGAGAAAUAAAAGGAAAAAUGAAGGUUGUCCUCCUGGUGCGUUCACACCGUGAGGUGUCACAGAGACCUUGAGACGUCUUAAUGUGGACUUUGCCGGGUGACGAAAGUGAACACCCCCUUCUCUUCCACAAGUAUUUAUUGUGUGGUUAGCAUCAUGCCCCCCAUCUCGCCUCAGAAAGCAAGUCUGAGAAAUUCAAGAGUUGGCCCUGGACGCUGCCCCUCCAUGCAGGGGGGACCUCAGAUGGCGCAUGGUAAGUGAACUGCAAGAAUGUGUCAGCUACGCCGAUGUGAUGUCUCGGGUGGACGGCUACUGCCUGUAUUCAGGGAGCUUAAGUGUCUCUUGUAUCCAUUCCCUUCCCUUCCCGGGUGACUCCAUUAUUUCUUGGUACUCUUUCUAGACCUGUCACCCUUUCGUGGUGACCCAUUUGGUAUCACGUAGGUUCGCUGUUGAUGAGAACUGUUUUCAGUGUUGCAAGGAGGUCAAAAACAAACAGUUAUUUCCCGGGUUAGAACAAAGAAGGCUUUGGCUUGAAUGAACUUUUGCUUAGUCACGAAGAACCCAGGGCCCGGCUCUGCUCUGGGGAUAAGACGACAGCCUGGGUUUCACUCCUGGUUCCACAGUUGGAUUUUGUGACUUUUACAACACACCGUUUCUCGGGGCGUAAGAGUCGCGAUGCAGUUUGAGGAGCUUUGAGUGACACGACUGAUGUAUUUCAGCCUCUUUUCCCUACUUCAAGCUCCCCCCCACCUUUUUUUUAAGUUUAUUCAUUUAUUUUGAGACAGACAAAGAG